rnacentral:rRNA from 1 species
AUACAGAGGGUGCAAGCGUUAAUCGGAAUUACUGGGCGUAAAGCGUGCGUAGGUGGUUAAUUAAGUCAGAUGUGAAAUCCCUGAGCUUAACUUAGGAACUGCAUAUGAUACUGGUUGACUAGAGUGUAGUAGAGGGUAGUGGAAUUCCACGUGUAGCGGUGAAAUGCGUAGAUAUGUGGAGGAACAUCA